ensembl:snRNA U2 U2 spliceosomal RNA
AUCGCUUCUCGGCCUUUUGGCUAAGAUCAAGUGUAGUAUCUGUUCUUAUCAGUUUAAUAUCUGAUACGCCCCCUAUCUGGGGGCCAUAUAUUAAAUGGAUUUUUAGAACAGGAAUAUGGAAGAAGAGCUUGCACUGUCCACUCCACGCAUUGACCUGGUAUUGCAGUACCUCCAGGACCGGUGCACCAAAA